GACCUUGACCGUUGCGUUUCGCAUUAAUAUCGAACAUUUAAUAUUGUUAUGAAAAUAUAAAUACGGUAAUUAUUAUCCUCUUAGUUUGUGCGCUGUUUUGCUCUUACUUUGUAGUUUAAGUCGGUUAGUUUAGUUUAAUAUUUUCACCUAUAGGAUCUAGUUUUUAGUAGUUUAUCUUGUUUCAGGAACUCAUGUGGACCUUAAUUUAGGUCGCUAAUAUUUUAAUAUAAAAAAAAACUUCUUUACAUCCAACUAAAACGGCUACACGAUGCUUAAGUGCCGGCUGCACAAAUAUUGCAUUAAAACGAAACCAGUGUCUUGUCUCGACUCAAGGUAACAGGCUUGAUUAUCGACCUAUACUCAGACCCGGGUAACAAACCAGCGCUCUUAGAACCGUCGGUUCAUUCAAUGACAGACAUCCAGACAAGAACGUAGACCACAAAUAUGUACUAGAAUUGGUAAGGAAGUUGGAGGAAACGGGAUCUGUUUGCAAUAAAAAGUGUACUGAGGAAAAAGUUGUUAAUGAAGGUUGCCAAAUUGGGGUACAGGGACCAUUUGCAAUGAAUCCAACAUUAUCUAUCCCCAAAAUCGCAGAGCUAAAUAAUAUUUCGAUAGGUUCUGUAGACAAAAUUUUGAAAAAAAAUUUGUCAAUCUUUCAACAACUAAGAGAAGACGAUUUUGAAUUGAAUUUUGCGAACUGAUGUGCUAGCGAAUUGACGAUUCAUUUAGUAAAGAACAUCUGCUUCAGUGACGAGUCAACUUUUUUUCUAAAUGGAUUGGUAAGUCGGCAAAACACUGCAGAUACUGUGAUUAUCAAAAUCCAUACCUUUUUCGAGAAGAUCAUACUCAUACAAUUAAUGAAUAAGCAGGAAUUUAUGGUAACAAAAUCAUGGAGCCAUUUUUUUUGGAAGAAAAUUUAACUGGAGAAAUUUGUUGAGACCUUUUCAAAAAUACGAGGAUGUAAAUUGGCAGGUGUGGUGCAAUUGAAUGAUGCAAGGUCGCCAGACUUAACACCACUAGAUUUUUUCCUUUGGGGGUAUUUAACAAUCAAGGUUUUUAAAACCCCAUGUGCCCAAAUAUUAAUAAUUUACAGAAUCGAAUUGCCGCGAAUGUAGAUAUAUUAGCGGACAAAC